ACAUUGCAAGUUCGAGCGGGGGCACGUUGCUUCUUGACUGUAGUAUGGGCGUACGGGUGAGAAUGCUUAUGAAUCUGCCAUUUCCUGAGGGACGACGUUCCCUACGGAAUGCUGAUACCGCAUACGUCCUACGGCAGAAGGCCGGGGAUCUUCAGACCUUGCCCUCACUGCUGAGCCUGAGUCGGAUUAGCUAGUUGGUGGGGUAGAGGCCUACCAUGGCCACGAUCUGUAUCGGGUCUGAGAGGAUGAUCCGCCACACUGGGACUGAAACUCAGACCAGACUCCUACUGGAGGCAGCAGUGGGGAAUAUUGAACAAUGGGCGGAAGCCUGAUCCAGCCAUGCCCCGUGUGUGAAGAAGGCCUUAGGCUUGUAAAGGACUUUAACCUAGGAGGAGGCUACCUAGAUUAAUACUCUAGGAUAUUGCAAUUGACUCUCACAAUAAAAACCGGCUAACUCUGUGCCAGCACCCGCGGCAAUACAAAGGGUGCGAGCGUUAAUCGGAUUUACUGGCCGUAAAGCGUGCGUAGGCGGCUUUUUAAGUCGGAUGUGAAAUCCCCCCCUUAACUUGGGAAUUGCAUUCGAUACUGGCAAGCUAGAGUAUGGGAGAGGAUGGUAGAAUUCCAUGUGUAGCGGUGAAAUGCAUACAGAUCUGGAUGAAUACCUAUGGCUAACGCAGCCAUCUGGCCUAAUACUGACUCUGACGUACGAA
rnacentral:rRNA from 1 species